rnacentral:lncRNA from 1 species
CUCAUCCUUGGUUAACAUACACAAGCACAGAGAAUUUAAAAAGGGUAAAACGCUGUUGUAAUCUCUUGUGAAAAUCCUCCUCUUCUAGUCUAAGUAUUAAAAUAGUUUGAGAGAGGAGUGAGUGCUUGUAAGGGUUGUCUCCUAAACUCAGUAAAAAGAGAAAAGGGGUGUAAGAAGGAUAUUGAUCUUCGUCUAUUAAAGGAAGAUCGAUAGUGGAUGCCAAUGGCCUCGACGGAAGAGAAAUCAGAGGAGUGGAUAUAGGGUACGACGAUCGAACCAUUAUAAAUCGGUUUGCAUUUCUGUUUUGCUAUUUAUCUUAACUGCAAACUGCCUUCCUUUACCUCAACUAUACUUCUGUAUGCUUUUAAUUUAAAGAUCUUUCCGAAACGGUUUAUAUUGAAAUCAGAUUUUAUCGUACGAAGGUUUUUCAAAUCGACAUAAUUUUUACCGUUAAACUAAUCUUUUCCUAACAGAGUCAGAUCCAUUUGAUUAACCCAUGAAUCAGUUCCUCCUUUCUCUUUCUUGUUUUUUCAUCCUAUUUUAUUUUUAAUUAUCUUUUAUUGUUCCCUCCCUCGUCUCAUUCUCAUUUGUCUCGGACUCUUUACGAUUUAUCUAUAAAAUUUAUUACAUUUGAGUUACACUCAAAUAAUAGUUAAGUUAUAUUCAUUCAUAUAAUUUAUUUAAAAUAUAUUAUUUUAUAUAAAAGUAUUUUAAAUUUAUCAUAAAAAAAUUAGGAGCAUAUUUUAGUAAAAUUAUCAAAGUUGUGAUAAUUUUAUUUUAAAAUUAUUUAAUUUUUAAAAAAAAUAGGAUAGAUGAUUUAGUUUAAGUUAGUUCAGUUUGAAGUGCCAUUAAGCCAACAUAAAAAAUAUAAGAUAUAAGAUAUUAUGAUUAGUUUUACGAAGAAUAAUUGUAUAUAAAAAUUAAUAUAUUUUAAAUAAUAUCUUAAGUUUUUUUAGUUUCGUAAUAAUUUUAAGAUAAUUUUAUACCUUAAUUAAUCCAUUUAGAGCUGAACGAGUUAAUCCAUUUUUAUGCACGAUUACUAAUCCAAAAAAAAAAAGAAGAAGAAAAACUUCAUCACCUGCCAUUGAUAAUGUGGUCAUCAAUGACUGCUAUUUUAAGCGAGUCAUUUCAUCAAAUACUCUGUCUACGUUGUCUACCAACUUAUACGUUUGACUUCCCUUGAACGAGGCGAUACGGUACGUCACUGUCUCGGGAUGCCAAACCCAUCUGAUACGUCAACCGAUCAUAACGAAGGGUCUCAACAGUCGUCCACAGAGACGACGGCGACCGUCUCGUCGCGCAGUCAUUUCCGUGCUGCUUUCUCGUUCUAAUAAUAAACGAGUGAAUUCGCGUGUAGUUUUCGAGGUAUUCCCCACCCCGCUCCCUCCUUUGACGAAGGGGCGAAUCCGUGCCAUGUUUUCGACGCAGCUCGGCGUGCUCGGUCGCUCGACGAUUCCACAGCGCGCCUUGGAAUUCGUGGGCCAGGAGAGGAGGAGGAGGACGUCAGAACUGAGAACUCCACUUCGACUGCAGGUUACUUGUGCCAGACCAGAGCAGAGAGGUGAACUCGCCACGGUGGGUCCUCCCCACCGUCAGAUCCAAUUCGUAGGCGGUGGAUUUUGUCGCGGAAUCACGGCGUCGCCAUGUGUUUAGAAUCCAAAGCUGGAUUUGAUCGAGUAAUCCGGUCGGCACCUUCGUUCGUUCUCGCUUUGGUUUGGGGAUGGCAAAGAUAAAAUUGGGCGCUUUCAUCUUCUUCUUUCCUUUUCCUGUGUCAUCUUCCUCUGUCUGACUUGAACAUUUCUUUCUUGAUCCUUCCUUCGGUCUUCUUUGGGCGGCUCCUCGUUUCCCCGGUCUUCUGCGAUCGCUAUCCGCAUCUACAUUGGCAGUUCUCGACGCAUCCGGGAGCACCACUCCGCCUCUGUUUCUCUCUCCAUAUAAACGAAAGAGGAAGAUCCGUGUAGCCAUGGCGGCCAACAAGUUCGCGACCGUCUUGCACAGGAACGGCAACAAGAUAGCGGUGGUACUCGCGUACGCCGUCCUGGAAUGGACCCUCAUCCUGCUGCUCCUGCUCAACGGGCUCUUCGCCUACCUCAUCGCCCGGUUCGCGGACUUCUUCGGCCUCAAGCCCCCCUGCGUCUUCUGCUCCCGGGUGGACCACCACUUCGAGCACCGGGCCGAUGGUCGCGGACGCCGCCAGCGUGGCGCCUGCCGCGACCUACUCUGCGACGAGCACGCCGCCGAGGUCGCAGGGAUGGGUUACUGCGCCCGCCAUCAGCGGCUGGCGGAGGCCGGGGAUAUGUGCGAGGACUGCUGCCCGUCGUCGUCGCGGCCCGUGGAGGCCGCGGUACUGUCUUGGAUGAAGCGGAGCGAGGAGGGGGCGAAGGAUCUGCGGUGCUCGUGCUGCGACGUCGUCAUCGAGAGCGGAUUCUACUCGCCCUACCUCUUCUUCAAGCCUUAUUGGGACGUGUCGGAGAAUGACCAGAAGGGGAAUUCGGUUGAGGAGAUUGCGGUGGGCGAUCGCGAGGAGGGUUUCGAGGAAGACGCCAUCUUUGGUCGAGAAAAGGUGAAAAAGUGGGAGUUGGUACCUCCAGAUCCAUCUGAUCGAUGCCAUGAAAAGGAGGAGGAUGAUGAAGAAGAGAAGGUGGGAAGAAAGGAGGCAACGUGCGCUGCCGAUUCAGAGAGGGCGGCGGAGGAACAAGAAGAAGAAGAGGCCCUCAUCCAAUUCUCCGACGCCUGCUGUUUGGUAGACGACCCUUCCUUUGAAGUCCUCACUCGGCGUCUGGGAAACAUAUGCGAUGACGAUGAGGAACGGUUGGUUCCGGUACAGCUGAUCGACUCUGCAACCAUGACUAAGAGCCCUGCUUCGUUUGUGCUCAGUAAACAACGCCAGCAAGAGCUUGGGCUUGUUGGAGGGGAAAAAGAUGGCGGGGUAGUCGACAUCGGAAGCAUCGCAGAGGAGAGGAAACCGGUGGCUUUCGCUGCAGAGAGGACUGAUGCCAUGGCUCUUGAUAUCGGGAGCAUUACAGAGAAAAAUGGAUUGGAUUCUUUUACAAAGAUGGCUGAUAUUGUUGAAGUGAAUCCUUUGGGGAAUGUUGGAGCUGUGCAAGAAGCAAAAGUUCUUGAUGUUGGAUGCGUUAUGGAAGAGGUGAAACCAUUGGCCUCAGAUGCAGGGAGCGAUGAUAUCUUUGGAGAGAAUUGUUCUGUUGAUGUUGCAGCAGACCAACAUGCUGAUGAUGUUGACAUGAGAAGCAUGGCGACAGAGGUCUCUGCCGGAGAAGCAGCUGAUACUGUUACGGAUAAUUCUUCCGACAUACACGAAGCUCAACAAUGUGCCAUGACUGUUGAUGAAAGAAGCAUAUCAGAGGAAAAGGCAUUGCCCUCUUCUAAACAGAAAGCUGAUACAAUUGAAGAGAGUUCUUCUGAGAUGGAUGGAGCCCAACAACUCACCAUAUCAGGAGAGGAAAAGGCAUUGGCCUCUCCCGAAGAGAGGGCUGAUACCAUUGUAGAGAAUUUUUCUGAGAUGAAUGGAGUUCAACAAUGUGAAAUCACUCUUGAUACAGGGAGCGUCUUAGAAGAUGAAAAGAUACCAUUGUCUAGGAUGGAAGGGGAUGAUAUCGUCAAACAGAAUUCCAUAUAUCUUCAUGCUUCAUCUGAUCAUCAAACCAUUGCUCCUCAAGCAACAUCAGUUAGAUCACUUGAAGAUGUUGUUCAAGUGGAAUCAUUAAGGAGCGCGGAAGAUCUUCCUGAAACAAAAGGUAAGAUGAUUCACUUUAGGAAAGCAAUUUUAGUCCUUAUUUUGUUGAUAUAGUUAAUCAUAUUUUAUGUGCUUAUCAAUAUUGCUAUCUUCUUGUUGUAAACAUACAUUUUAUUGAUGACUAUAGAUUUUGAAGAAGACAACAAAUUGAUCGAUGUGGACACUGGUUGUGGAAUAUCUACAGGAAGUGAGAUAUGCAACCAGGAAAACAGUGAUCAUGCACAUCCUCUUGAGCCAAUUUUAUUGUCAGAAAGAUCAAAAGAUCAACUCUCAGAGAGCUAUAAUGAGAUGACUACUAUAGACCAAGGUACCAGCUUCAGAUCAUCGCUUUUAUGAAUCUUCAAGAUAAUCAAAUUUUCAUUUUCAUAUGACCGCACGGUCAUACGCUUAACUCUUAUGUGCUAAUUAUUGCCUCCUCUUUGUUGAAGAAAUAUUGGUUACUGAAACUGAACCAAUGGUGGUGACUGCUGCACAAAGGCCAGACCAUGUUGCUGUGUUUGCAGACAAUAAUGAGAUUGAGGAGGAGAGAGUACCUGAGACGCCAACUUAUCUUGAUGGUAUUCAUGGUUUAAUUAAAAGUUUUUUUCUUGGAAGGAGAGAAUCGGGAACAGAGUCUCUAGAUGGAAGCGUUGCCGGUGAGUUUGAAGGAUGUGAUACAUUGACCGUAGAUCAGCUUAAAGCUGCUUUGAAGGCAGAACAAAAAGCUCUGAGUGCAUUAUAUACUGAGCUUGAGGAAGAGAGAAGUGCCUCUGCCAUUGCUGCAAACCAAACAAUGGCAAUGAUAACCAGGCUUCAACAAGAGAAAGCUGCUAUGCAGAUGGAAGCAUUGCAAUAUCAGCGGCUGAUGGAAGAACAGUCGGAUUAUGACCAGGAAGCAUUGCAACUUUUAAAUGAGCUGAUGAUGAAGAGGGAGAAGGAGAAACAAGACUUGGAGAAGGAGCUAGAAGUGUACAGAAAGAAAAUUCUUCGAUACAAGGCCAAGGAGAGGAGACAAACCGCAAAGCACAAGGUCAAUGGUAUUGCUGGAACAUUCUCUACUUCAUCAAGUGCUGAAGACAGUGAUGAUCUCUCCUUCGAGGUCCAUGAAGGGAACGGGUUUGCGUAUGAUCCUGAUGAAAACAAUCAAAAUACUCUUGUUGAUGAUGUGUUAAGUUCAGGGGCAAAUCAAGGCACUGCAACGCAUACAAUCACACUUAGGGAAUCGUUGGAUGAUUUUGAGGAAGAGAGGCUCUCAAUACUUGAGCAACUCAAGGCAUUGGAGAGUGAACUUCUGACAUUGGAUGAUGAAGACUCUCAUGAUUCAGAUGCCAUAGAGCAUAUUACGGAUGAAAGUUGUCAUGUUUCAAAUGGAAAUUAUGGACCUUCAGGUGAUGAUUUACAUGACGAUGCAAAUGGUUUGUCAGUUGAUCUAGAGGCUAGCAGGAACCUACAUGGUGAACAAAGAUCCUCGGGUUGUAACGGGAAGAGGCUUCUUCCUCUCUUUGAUGCCAUAAGCGAGGAAAACGAGGCGGCAGUUGAUGCUUCAACUAAAACAAAUUCAUAUCUUGCAGAGAAGCAAAAGAAGCUUGCAAUUGUGGAAGAGCUCGAUAACAUCCACGAGAGACUGCAUGCCCUCGAGGGUGAUAGAGAGUUUAUCAAACAUUGCAUCGGUUCCUUGAAGAAAGGAGACAAGGGAAUACAUCUUCUUCAAGAGAUAUUAGAGCACCUUCGUGAUCUGAGGAGCGUGGAACUCCGAGCGAGGAACUCAUGCAAUGCUCUUGUUUCAUUGAUGGCUUAGUAUGCAAAUGAUGAAGGUAAUUUGGUUCGUCUCAUACCUUCAAUCAUCACAUUCUUUAUGGUACAGCAAUAAGCUGCUUAUUCAUCGGACUUGAGUUACGGUUUGCUACUUGUAACAAUUUUCCUCUACAAUUGUACUCUCCACUCCAUUCGACAUAAAGAAAUGUGCACCUAAUAGAUGUUCCACAUGCAUUCACUCACACUCACACCUAACGCAAAGGACAAAGACACAUAAAAUGUCCCCCUUCUCGAAGCCAUCUAUCUGGCUGAUAUUAUCAUUAUGGCGACAUUGAUUAUAAUAGCUUUGAAAUCAUUGUACUACAGCAUUAACUCUGAAUUAAUAUCUUUGACAGAUGGAGGCUACAUUAUUGGAGUGUGUUCCAGCGAGGAAGAUGGUCACACCAGGUGAAAUUGAGCUCCUGAUAUCUGUAUUUUGUUGGUGUCUUUGCAAGUGUAUAGAAGCAGACAAUGGAUGGAAGCUGCUUCUCCAGGCUAAGUUUUUUGUGGGCCAUUUCUCUGUUUUGUUUCCUUCUAUUUUUUUUGUUGUAGGGGUCCAUCACCAUUGCUGUGGAGCAAAGGGGGAUGAGGCAAAGAGGGGUGGUUGGGCAGCCACUCACAAUGUGAUUGUGGCAGAAAUCAUAGCUUCCAAAGCUGUACAAAGUCAUAUAUAUUUAUAUAUACAUAUAUAUUCCAGUGCCAGCUCCAAGUCCAGGUAUACAGCAGCAUAAAAGAGAGAGAGAGAGAGAGAGAGAGAGAGAGAGAGAGUAGUGNNNNNNNNNNNNNNNNNNNNGAGAGAGAGAGAGAGUUGCAUUUGUUCUUUGUUUUCUUUAACUUCUUUCCUAGAGAGGGAAAGUGGUAGUUGUAUGAUGAUGUUUGAGGAAGGAUUUGAAAUAUAUAUUACAUGUUUUACAUGCAGUGUCCCUCAAGGACAAGAUGUGGUCCUUGAGAAUGUCUUUUGAUACUUUCCACAUGCAAUUAAUUAAUUGUAAGCACAGAUUAGUGAGUAAAUGAUGCUCCAUAAUGCUCACUAGUUGUUCCUAUCAAGACCACAGACAACCUGGCCGCUUAUUACCUAAUCUCAUGGUUGGCCCACCAAAGGAAUAGGUAAUGCCAUUGGGGUUGUCUUCUCCUUGCUUUCAGAGUUGUGCACACCAAACUCACUGUUAGGGUUUGGGAAAGAAGCUUGGAAGAGAGUAGGCCUCUAACUUUAUAGAGAAAAAGAUACUAGAAGAUUAAAUAUAAUAAUUAUUAUUCUUCACCACCUUUCUCUCACCUUAUAUAUAUAUAUAUAUAUAUAUAUAUAUAUAUAUAUAUAUAUAUAUAUAUAUAUAUAUAUAUAUAUAUAUAUAUAUACUUAUUGUUGAAUUCAAUAUUUGAAUUAUGAUGUCAUAGUGCAAAUGAAUAAUCUAAAUGCUUGUGAUACAUCAAACUUAUAAAGUAUUAUCCAAUGAAGAUAGUGAUAUAAUAGUUUGAAUUAUAUAUUAAUGAAAUAAAAGGGAAGAUUUGAUAGCAUGAUAUGUUCCCACAUAGUGACACAAUUUUGACCACAAAAUGACACAUGUUUAAAUUGUUAAGAAGGAACACUUUUAGCAGAUGAAACGUACCAAUUGCUUAUAUGUUUGGACUCCUUAUGAAUCAUGUUUUGCUUUAGAAUUGAUCAUUGGUGAGUCAAAAAUAUAAAUCAUUUCAAGGCCAUGGUUGACCCGAUACCUAUUUUGGUGGUGGAUGAUCAACUUCACAUUCACCAUCAAUCAUCAUCACGAUUCUUUUCGCGUGACGUGCAUCAAAGAAUGUGUACAAACACAAACAAAUUGUUUCAAAUAAUACUUUACCCUCAUGUAAAGUUAAAAAGGAUUUAGAAUCUAAUAUAUAUUUUUAUUUUAAAUAAAAUAAUAACUUGAGCAUUAAAGGAAUCUCGUCGGUCGAUCGGAUGCUUCCGAUAUAUUCGUAGAAGACUUCUCGAGAGUUCAUGAGAUAACUCAUAUGCCAACCAUAAUAAUUCCUUAAUAAAGAAUUGAUCAAGUCGACUCGACCCUUUCAUUUUAGAAUGAUGAUCGAAUUUUCCACUAACAGCUCAUUAGGGGUUUGUUUUUGGGUUAAGACAUUGUGAGCUUUUGUGGAUUGGGUGGUUUUUCUCGCCAUAAGGCAUUGUGACGUAUAACUAAGGAGGCCCAAAGGCCCAACUUUAUUUGGUGAAUUAAACAUGCGUUAUAUUCUUUAUCUAAAUACUAAUAAAUUAUGUUAUAAGUUUAUAUUUAGUGAUGUCAAUGUGAUAGGACACGACGAGAAAUGCUUCUUCUAUUAUCAUCCCCUGUACUGGGAAUCCUUAUUAGGGGUGGAUAACCUUUGGUAUUUUCGUAUCUUCAUAAUUAAUUCAUUCAUUCAAUUUAAGAAAAUAAAAUUAUCAUUAAACUUAAUUAAUAAUAUUAAAUUUAUAUAUAAUAAAUGAUAAAUAUAUUUAAAUAUAAAUAGAAUCAAAAUUAUCAUGAGAGAUUAGGGGAAGAUGGAAGAGGAUCAAGAAAAAGCAAUGGGAGAGGAGCCUACAACACGACAACUAAUGAGACAGGGUCGUAGGGUGGGUGGGGAUGAUUGCGAUGAGGGGGUGGGGGGCAUUAUGAUGAAGAGAAAAGUAGAAAAACGAAGGGAAGAUAAGAAAAUAUGUGAUGGAAAAAAAGAAGAAUACUAAAGAAUCAUUAUUUUUAUUCACUAUUCAUCCUUUGUUAUGAUGAGAAACUAUUAUUUGUCAACGAAAAGAGGAGGAUCAAUGAAGACAAAGUCAAACAACCAUCACAACGGUCAAUUAACGUAUGAGGUCAGGAUGAAGAGUUCUUCUUGUUAAAUGAUAAGAUGUUUCAUUUGAUUCAAUUAAGUCAAAUAAUUCUUAAUUAAAUUAUGAUUGAUUCAAUUAAUAUUCAUCUAGUUUAAUUUGAAUAAAGAAAGUUUAACAUGUUUAGAAUUUAGGCUUAGCAACUUUGUCAACAUAUUAAUGAGUAAAAAAAUAAAAAAAAGCUCUACCUAUCAUUAUCCCAUAUUCAUGUGAGUAAUAUAAAAUGCCCUUCUUCCCAUCUAAUCUCACGAAAAACAAGAGUGCAUGCAACAUUCCUAUUUAUAUUAGCAACUUCAAUUAGUUUGAUCUCAUCAUCACUAUAUUCUCAUGGAUGCAUUCAUGUGUUUUAAUCCGACUAAACCGAAGUUUAGCCAAAGCCAAUAUUUGACCAUAAAAUAUUUCCAUGAAGAUAUAAUAAAUCGACUAUGUUUUAAAAUGUUACCUUAGUGCUUUCUUCAUAUUAUUUUUGGCUAAACUUUGGAAAUAAUGCAUUUAUCUCUUUAAAUUUUAAAACAACAUAUACAUUUUAUUUUAUUAAUAAUAUUCAAAUUAAUCAUAUACCACUUAAUAACUUAAGAUUAAAGUAUAUUAGAAACAUAUAUUAUAUAAUGAUAGUUCAAUCAACAUGAGGAGGAUAAGAAAAUAUUCAACUCAUAUCUCAAAUUUUUUUUUAAUUAAAUUGAUUAUAAAAACCUUUCAAAACAUAUCAAUUGAGAUCAGUAAUAAUUUACUAUAGACUUAUACCCCGAUUGAUUAAGAUCACAUCAAAAAGACCUAUAUGAUCUUAGAUUUGGUAUAUUUUUUUUUAGCCACAUCAAUCUUUUUAAGCAUGUGGACCCAAUAGAGUUGAGCUCAUCUAAACAUCAUUAACAUCUAUCACAUCACAUAAUUUUUUAAUAUUUUAUUCUUACCAUAAUAAUAAUAUUUUAUUCUUAAAGAUUUUAGAAACUUCAUAUAAUAUAAUCCAAUAAUAAAAAUUUAAUAUUUAAAGAAAUAAAAAAAUUAUUUUAGAACCACGCAUAAUAUAUUUUGAUUUAAAAAUAAAAUUUAAACAUUUAAUGAAAUCAAAGAAAAUUUUAAAUAUUUAAUGAACUACAUAUAAUAUAUAAUUCCUCAUUUCUUUUGUUACUAGAUUUAGAUUUAAGUUGAUAGGAAUGAAGAAGAAGAAGAAGAAUCUCUCCUCGUUUGUAUAAGAAAUAUAAUUUUUUUUUAAUUUUUAUAUUUAUUUUUUAUUUAAUGUACUAACAAAAAUAAAAAUCAUCCUACUUAAAAUAUUAAAUAAUUAAUUUAUAAAAAAAUUAAUAAAUAAAAAAUCAUAACCUAAAUUACAGUCCCAACCGAGCUCAUCUAAACAUUAUCACAUCACAUAAUAUUUUAUUCUUACCAUGGUAAUAAUCAAGUGUAGGGUUUCAUUCAAUCAUUGCUUUAACAGUCCAACAAUGGCUAAAAUUUAAGGAUAUUUAUUUUUAUUUAAUGCUGAGACUUAACAUUUAAAGAAUAAAUAUAAAAAUUAACUUUAGAGGGCUAUUUGUGUAAUUUUCCGUUUAACUUCCAUCCCACCAUUUAACUACGGAUUCGGAUCCAGUCGUAUCCGAACCCAAUAUGCGACCACCGUCUCUAUGUUUUAACAGAUGUUAAAAAGCAGUAAACGGGGCAAGUCCGAUCCGAUUGCCGUUGAAACCCACCACCUCUUCUCCUCCGUCUCUGUCUCUCUCUCUCUCUCUCGCGUCCCCAACUCGCAACUCCGAUCCAGAUGAAUGCAGCCAAUUCACAACGCCGAUCUCUCAAUUAGCAGCGGCAGCAGAUGAACUGUACAUAAGAUCGGGAGUGGCAGAAGGAGGAGGCUCCGAGCCUGAUCCGUAUGGAGCGGUUGCCGUCGGUGUCGCUGAGGCGCGACCCCGCGGGGCCGCGGCCGAGCGCGGACCCGGAGGCGCUGCGGCGAUGGGUGGUGGCCUUCUGUAUCAUCCGCUUCGACCUGGAGCAGGGGCAGCUGGUGGAGGAGUGCUUCCCCCCGGACUCCCUCCCUCACCACCAACUCCUCCUCGUCGCCUUCUCCUCCUUCCCCGACUCCAUGUCCCACCACCACCUCAACCCCAACACCGCCCACCGGCCCUCCUCCUCCUCCUCCUCCUCCAUUCACGACUGCAUCUUCUCCUUCCGUUUCCCAGCCGCCGCCGCCGACGGCGGCGACUUUCUCUACGGAUACGUCUUCAACCGCCGGCGGCAGGACGAGCGCCUCCCGCGCGGUGGCGAGCAGAAGUCGGUCGUCAUCCUCUCCCGCUCCCCAUACUCCUCCGUCUUCCGGCCGCUUCUCCAGAUCCUCGGACCCCUCUGCUUCGACAUCGGCCCCUCCGCUCUCGGCCUGGUCGCCUCCCACGUCGCCGCCUGGCCGGCCCCCGCCCCGGGCGCCCCCAUGGACCUCCCGAUCGGCAGCGCCGCCCUUCGCGUGCACCUUCCCCCGGCCCUCUAUGACGCCGCCGCCCCCUUCCCUCCCGCCAACCCAUCCGUCCCCCACGGCCUCUUUCACGACGCCGACAUAUUCGGAAGCUUCCGCGGCCUCCUCCUCCACCUCUGGACCCUGUGGGAGUUGAUGCUCGCUGGCGAACCUCUCCUGGUGAUCGCCCCAACUCCCCCGCAAUGCUCUGAAGCAGUCGCCGCCCUCGUCAGCCUCGUUGCACCGCUCCCGUUUUCCGUCGACUUCCGGCCCUACUUUACCAUCCACGACCCCGGCUUUGCCCGGCUCAAUUCGCUAGGCGAAGACGAGGAGUUCCCCCCCAUGGUUCUCGGAGUGACCAAUCUCUUCUUCUUGAAGGCCCUGCGGAACAUCCCUCACGUCGUCUCGGUGGGCAGUCCCGGGCCUAAUACCGGCCGUGCUCUUCCUGUGGCCAGCCGUUCGGCCUCGACUGGGAUGCCCGGAAGGAACUCUCGGCCUGGAAAGCUCAACCUAGAGCAGCUCUCGCUGAACAAGUUUUCCCCCUCGGGCUUGUUGAAUGCGAUGAAGCUAAGGAGGGAGGGCCCUCUUUGCCUCAUGACGGAGCACAAGGAAGCUGUUUGGAGCACUUAUACAGCGACGACGAAGCCAGACACCGCCAUUUUGAACAGGCUAAUCGAUUCUCCAAGGAUUGAGGAGUCCAUGUCUGUUGCCAACAAUGAGAUAUUGCGGCGGCACUUUCUGGAGCUAACAACCAAUUUCCUUGCACCCUUCGGUCCCUAUCUAAGGGCAACCACCCCUUCAAAGGGAACUUCCCCUUUUGUCGACCCGCCACCCUUGCCUCCGUUUCAUGCUGAUGAGUUUCUCAGUGGGCUGGCCACAAGAGGGCCAGGGAAGUUCUUGUCAAAGAGGAUGAGGUCCAAUUGGUUGGAAUUGUACAGGUGAUAGUGCUGUUGAUGAAGUUUAGUAUCCUAGGGAUAUUUCCACUUGAUAUCAUCACCACUCUGUAUUUGACUUCAACUAAUUUUGUUUUACAUCAGGUCCUUCUUGGAAGGACAAAAUUUCAUGCCCUGGUUCCAUAGAAGGCGUGCUGCUGCAGAGCAAGAGCAACAUAGGCUAUGGAGGCAGGCUCGCAUGAGCACUGACAUGAAUAAGCUUAUAUCUAAAAUGUCCGAAGUGGAGAUCGUUGAUUCUUUUAAUGCUAUUGAAAGACAUUUGCUUGCAGAGAUACAGGUUUGUUCUUUUGAUGUUUGAUAAUGGUUGGUGAAUACUAAAUGUUAUGCUCCAUUUGAUAUGACUAACACAAUGUGAAAAAAUAUCUCAUGCAUUUCAUAUUACACUUGACAUGAAUUACUUUGAAAUGUUUUUACAGGAUCAGUUUUCAUCCAUUUAAAUGUUAAACCUGCAAUAAUGCAACUCAUCUGCCCUCAACUUAACAUGUUAAGUUGAUGAAGAAUAUGAAAUCAAAUGUAUAGAUGUACACGGAGCAUACAAUAUUUUAAUCCUUUCUUUAAUAUGUAUAGACGUCCAUCCUAACUGUGUUUUCUGCAUACGAUCUGGAUGCUAGGUUCCUUUUCUGACUAAUACCUUGAUAUGGACUCUAGGCUGAUAAUGGGCCAUGUGUUGUUGUAUCCUUUGGUCCUUGGUAGGUGCACGUGUGUGUGUGCUUGUGUUUUAAUAUCCGUAGAAUCUACUGUUGCUGUAGGAGUAUCAUGGAUAGAUGAUGCUGUUUAGACAGUUAAACAUAUUGCUAUCCAACUUUAUAGUUAAGUCAAGGUAGUUGCUUAAGUCAUGAUGCAUAUGAUACAACAAUUAAUACAAACUAACCAACAAUAAUAACAGUUUCAUAUAAAUUUGUGUUAAGUAGAACAAGAAGAAAAAUAAAAAACAACAGAGCUUAUCACUACUUUUCUCUGCUUUCAUCAUGAUCACUUUCUGAUCUAUGCCUUCUUUAAUUAAAGUGGUUGGCUUCUUUUCAAGACACUUCGUGACAUCUGAAUAUAUUGGAAGUCAGUUAUCAAUAUAUAUCAUGGCAUUUGAAUAUGUUGGGAGUACGGUAAGAGAACUUUCCUUAUCUUCAUUAUGCAAAGAUUGGAGCUUGCUGAAUCCACUCCUUUUUAACUUAGGAAGGGAGAUGUCUAGUAAAGCUCUCUCACGAAUUUCUAGUAAUUAUAGCCUUACUGAAUUUUAUAAUUUUUAUUAUUUUUGGAUGUAUUUUCGUUAUUAUUUUAAGUUGAUCUGUUGGAACUCUUUAAAGUCAAAGUUUAAGUCUAUUUGGCUUCCGAGUCCUAAAAUGAUUAUUAGCAUAGAUUACAAGAGUAAUAAAGCUAUUAGGAGUUGCUUUUGGAGACUGACAAUAUUCCCAUCAGUCCUAUUAGUAUAAGCCUUUUUUGGUAUGAUUAUGAGACUAUUUCUUUUAGGCAAUAAAAUCUGUAGAUCAGAUAGGCAGAUGCAAUAAAAUAAAAUAUGCAAUAAAAUAAGUUCUCUUGUAAACCUAGUCUCUUCAUUGCAUUGGCGAAUACCUUGAUACAAGUCUAUCAAUUAUGCUUAUUAAUAGUGUACCCUUUAGAUUCUCUAGAAUGUUUUUAUUGUUUAUCGUAUCUUUUUUACAUAUUCGUCUCAACAUGUUUAUCAUAGCUAUACUAUUUCUUUUCUUGACUACACUGUUUAACUUCUGGAAUCAUUCCCUAUCCUAUCAUGAUGAUAGUUGCUACCAUUUUAUUCUCCUCACUGAAAAUGUGGAAGAAUAUUUAUCAGAUAAUCUGUACCAGAUUGUUUAUCCCCCCUUUAGUUGUCUGCCAUCACUUGCCAACAGCAUUAUUGUCACCACUACCACCAUGUUCAUCAUUUUUCUCUUAACAAAGAGAAGAAACCUUUUCUGCCCCGAGAAAGUUUAAAGCCUCUUUAUUUUUCGUCUCUUUUCUUGACUGCCCAUCAUAAGCAUCAUAGUUGUUACCACCAUCACCACUCCCAUUAAGCAGUAAAGAAAAGCAGAAAAGUAUACAAGAAAUGUCUGCAUAACAUAUAUUAUCAUAAACAAUCAUGUAACAUUGGAUGAUUGAAAUUUUGAAGUGUUUUUUAUUGAUAUUGUAUUUUUUAUAUCAUAAUUUUCAGAGUUACAAAAAUUUGAAAUAAUAAAGGCAUUUUAUUUUUUAAUACAUGAUAUAUGCAACUAUUCAGUUGAUCAUAAGACAUUCAGUAAAUAUUUGAAUUUGUUAUCCUUCAUGAAUGUGGAUUUGUAUGAACUUCCAAUGCUUUCUUCAUAUGAGUUGUUGCAUAAGUUGGUGCAUUUGUUUUGAAUCAAGAAAUUCUAGUAUGUUUAUUAUUUCAACUUUUUGUGGUUGUAUCUCCUAAACUUCAGAAAUCAGACUCAUCUCUCAGUCCUGAACAUUACACCUUAUGUCUUAAUCCAGUUCCAGGAACAUAAAACUGCAUGAUCAAAGACAUAUUUUUGAAUUUUUAACUUACAAACGUUUACUUUAUGUAAAAUGGCCUUAUGGGCAACAUUUUUCUCAUUUUGUUUUCUGAUUCAAGAGGGUGGUUGUGUAUGGUGAUAACAGUUGUGAUGGCCAUAGUACUAGUUUUGGUGAGAAGCCAAGAGAAGAUGGAUCACACUUUGUCAUCUUGUUGUGAAAUAGUUCGCUCUCUGUCUCUUUUGAUUCCCAUUAAUGAUGUUGGUGAUGAUAGUGAUGAUAAUGGUGGUGGAAGGCGGAGGUGGUGGACCCUAAUAAUUUUAUAACUUACGUUUUCUAACUUCUGAUUGGUACCUUUGCUAAAACUACCAUUCUUUUGAGUUUUCGCUAGUGCUCAAGCUUUCUAGCAAGCUCUUUUUUCAAAGUUAUUUCUAUUAUUUACCCUUUCUAAUUUACUGUCCCUGCAAUUUCCUUUAGCACACAUGUGAAGUGUCUAAUUUUUCUUGUAUGGUUAUUGCAAAAUGCUGCGUCUUUUGAAUGUAGCAAGAAGUGCCUGACGAUAGUUGCUUUUACACAUAUGAAGAUUCUUAUCUACCUUCGUGACAACCUGACAAGCCUGUAUUCCAAUAUGUACUCUGACUAGAGAGGAGUGUUUUUUUAACAUCUUUCUUUCGGCAGUGUGUUUUAUGGCUUCACCUAAACAGGAAACGAAGUCUGUAAGUAGAUGACAGUAUAUAAUCAUAUUCUCUAAUACAAUAGAUCAUGUUAAGUAAUGGCAUGGUGGUGCCCUAGUAUCAUUUUAGACAUGCAUAGCCAUUCAACUUCCCUUAUGCACUGAUGGCAUGGUGGACUUGAUGUGAAUACGGUACAUACAUGCAUAUAUGUGUGAAAUAUACUACAGAAGUAGAGUGAAAUUCAAAAAAUAAAAAAGACAUCAGGACCUGGCAAUCUGCAGCCAUGAUCUGGUGGCCUGAUUAUGUGGUUACACAUCAAUAAACAAGAAUGUUGAAUAAAGCUCUCUAUGUGGUUGGACGUGAUAUCUUGACUGGAUUAUUCUUUGGUGAGCCUUGCUUGGAUUAGCUUUGGAUUGUCGAAAGCUCAUUCACAGCAGAAUCUAGGGGUUAAACAAUGAUUCUUGAUGUUAAUUUUUAGUUCCUUGCACUAACAUCCACGAGGUUAUCAUAUUGUUCUAGUAGUUCAUGAGCAUUUUGUAAAAUAUCUAUUUUAGCCUGAUGUAGAUGUUAAAUGAAGCAAGCUAGUUGCACCUGUGGGAGAAAGCUUGGUUCAACUUGUUAUGCUUAAGAAUAUGUGAGGUAAUCUGAUCAUAUGUUUUCUCAGGGUUCUUUAUUCUUUAAUAAUGCUGUAUGUACUUGUUCAUUCAUUAAUAUCUGUGCAACCAUCGAACAUGGACAAUUUAGAUAUGUGAUUGUCAAAUCUGAUAAAUACUGGACCCUGAUAUUAUUUAAAUCUUCAGAGGGACUUGGUCUGCUUGCUGAUAUUCAACAUUUUUUCCCCAUUUGCAGCAAUUGGGAGAUGCUAGCGAGGACUCUGCAGUAGUAUGCCAGAAGCUGAAAGGAGACCUUCGAGUGGUGUUUAAUGUUCUUCCCAAGGAUAUGCAACAGCUGCUGCUCUCCAAUCCCAAAAGAUCAGCUCUUCUUCAAGGUGACCCAGAACCAGGGAAGCAUCCUUCUGUACAGAGUAACCCAGUUGCUGAAUUGAAGUUCUCCUUCCUAUCUCUGUGAUCUUAGCAGCUACUUUCGAGCUUGUAUUACUUGUCCCUGCAUACGGAUCGUAUCGAAUCCCAGGUAUGCUCCCUUCUGUGCUGCACAAGGUCAAGAUUACUGGGAAGAGAGGGAGAAGAGACGGGAGGGAGGGGAUUGGGUUGAGUUAAUCAUGAGGGCCAAAUUAAGCUAUGCCUUUUUUUUUCUGUACCAUUUAGAAAUUAUGUGAUUUGUAUUCCUUCGUUCUCAGAAUCGAAGCAAUGUGCAAACUGGUAGCCCGUUGUAGGGACUAAAUUCUUUUGACCUGAUAAAGAAAGCUGUUUCUUAGAUUGGCAGCGCGUUGACUUAUUUGUUUGAUACAUCCCGUCAAUGGCGAGGCAAUUAGCUUCUCAUUUGUUGCUGUGAGUUGUGGUCCUUGUGGAAAUGCUAUUGUGGUAGAAUGAGUUGCUACUUCAGGUGUGAUGCGUUCAACCCACACAAAUAAAUAGCUUUGUUGCUCUAAGUCAGGCAUCUCAAACAUCCGAGCCAUCCGCUACAUUGUACUAGCUUUUGUGAAGAAUAGAAUUGUAAUCGAUGCAAAAUGUGUAUUAGAUUUGCAAGGUAAUAAUAGAAAAGGCAUCAGAGAAUCUAUUCGAGUCAAUGUAUAGAUGCAGUCACGAGGGAGACCCUUUAUAUAACUGUUUCGACCAUACAAAAGUCAACAGAUUUGGAUCAAUAUUAUCAGAUCCACUUUUACCAUUAUACCCAAAACCUAACAUAACUUUUGGUCAAUGCAGGGAGAGCUAAUUAAAUAUUAUUCCAUGUUGUUAGGUACAUUUAGUAAGUAUCCGGAUUUUUAUAUAUUGUUACGAAAGUAAAAUAUAUAGGUUUAUUUAUUCUAUCGUUGUUGAUUUUACAACAAAAAUAUGGCAACAAAGAGUAAAAAGAUAAUUUUAACAUUUCAAUUGGUGAUGACAGAUGAUGACGCUGUUAGGAACCGUGAGUGGUUAUUGUGAAUGAGGAGAAUGACAACGAGAGGUGAGGGUUACUUGGCAACUACGUCGACGAUGAAUACGAUGACGUACUCAACGUCAAAUUUCGAGACCAAUAUUUUUCUACUGUCGUCAGAUACAUCCAUCGGGAACUCAACAAUGGCUUACCUACCGACCUUCCAUAGCUUCCCUACCUAGUCGACGAUAACUGUGGUGAAUAGAACUCCUCUGACGAGCCCCUCAUCUCCCCUUUUUAUGCUCACGUUAGAACUGAUGCAACAAUGUGGGGAGUGGUAGGAGCUUUAACAACCUUAGCUUUGGGUCAAGUGAUCCACCCAACGGGUCAAUAGCAAGGUGGCUACCAUCUUCACCGAAGAUGUCACGACGACCACCAUAUGCGUUGACGUUGACGUAAUUAUUGAGCGUUCAAAGGGCCGCUCGACAUCUGUAUUAGCACCAACACAUAUGGCAAGCGACGUCUAUGAUGAAGAUGGUUAUCGCUUCAUCGCUAGCUCAUUGGGCAGAUCACUCGACCCAAAGUUGGGGUUGCCAUAGCUCCUAUCGCUCCCCUCGCUUUCGUGUCAAUUUUGACAUGGGCAUGAAAAAGGGGAGAUAGGGGGCUCGUCGGAAGAGUUUUGUUCAUUGUAGUUAUCAUCGAUCAGGAAGGGAAGCUCUAGAAGGUUGACAAGUGAGUAGUUGCUGGGCUCUCGAUGGAUGUAUUUAAGGAUGAUAGAAAAAUACGGGUCACAGAAUUCGAUGUUGGGUAUGCCAUUAUACAUGUCAUUGAUGUAAUUGUCGAGCAGCCCUCACUUCUCAUCAUUACUCUCCAGCGAUGUCGUCGUCCGCCACCACCAACUGAAAUAUUAAAAUUAUUUUUUAUGUUUUUAUUGGUAAAAUUGAUAACGUUAAGGUAAAUAAAUUUAGAUAUUUAACUUUCUUAACUAUAGAUGUCAAUAUAAUUUUUAAAAAUAUAAAAUUAAAAUAUUAAAAUAACUAACUAUAUUAGAUAAUAUAUAAUUAGCUCUUGUAGUGAUGAUUAUGGCUCAAUUUAAAUUGAAACCAAACUAGAUCAACGGUUCGAUGAUUCUGAAUUGAAUCAAAAUUAAAGCUAUAUGAUUCGGUUCUAAUUUAAUAAUUUUGAAUGGACCAAAUAUGAAAAAAAAAAGGGAAAAAUAUAAGAAUAUUUUAUAAUUUAUUAAUUAAUACUUUAAACUCAAAACUUAAUUUUUUUAAUAUUGAUAGAAUAAUUUAUUGAUUUAUUUAUUAUCAAUCGAAAUAGGAUGAAAUCGAAAUCUAAACUGGAAUCGGAACCGCCUGGUUCGGCUCCGAACCCAAAUUUGGCAGAACCCGAACCGACGGUCCCGGGACGGUCAUCCCCAGAAAUGGGGCAGGCGGGUAGGAUGGCUGGGAGUGGAAGUCCUUCUCUUCCCUAAUUUCCACCAUGGCCGCCCGACCGAGGCUUCUCCACCUGAGCUCCUCCUUCUUCUUCUUCACCUGCAAGCGUGGCGCCCGCUCCAUUUUCUUCCCUUCCCUGCUCCUCCCCUCUUCUCCUUCCCGCCGCCGCCUCCUCUUCUCCUUCCCCAUCGCACCAUCCCUCGCCCCCGGACACCCUCUUCCAGGGCCCCGAUUCCGUUCCUCCCCCUCCGCGGCGUCCAUCACCGUCGACGGUCCCCCCGUAAGCUUCGACGAUUCUUCUUCCGCCUCCUCCCACCACUGGCCCGAAUGGGAGCGGUUCCUCGGCAAGUUGAGGGGAAAAGGUUACUUCGAGGUGUCCACUUCGGCGGCUCCCUCAGGAGAUGUGGAGGAUGAGGGCUCGAGUGUCUCGGCGGGGCACGGUGGCUCGUCCGUGGAGGUGAACCAUGUCAAGAACGCAUGCCUCAAGUUUGCUCGCGGGCGGUUCAACAUCUUCAGGUCCUCCCUUUUCUUUUUCCAAGAGUAGUAUUCCUUUUUCCUUUUUCUUUUCCUUUCACUGGAUGAUUGCUUGAUAUCUUUUCUUGAAAAGGAAAGGUAGGCCAGAAGACACAAUUCAAUCCAUAUAAUAAUCAUAAAAUUUAAGAGAAACAAAAAGAUCAGAAGAUUAGCAUGUAAGAAAAGUUCAGAUAAUGGAAGAUUAAGAAGCGGGAAGAUUUGACCCCCAAGCAGUGUCAAGAAUUCAAAUCAACAUGAAUGUGCUCGAGUAGAUGCCUUCAUCAAAGAUGGUGUUCUUGAAAGUGAUUCUGUUUCUCAGGAGUGAUAUCUUUGAGUUUCUUGGGAUGUGAGAUAGGGUUGGAUUAGUAACUAGUUGGUAUCUUUGAGUUAAAAUGUAUUGGUAACCCUGAGGUUUAGCUACUUGUAUUCCACCUAAUUGAAUGCUAGGCGUGCGUAUCAAUGAAUAUCUGCUGUGCAUUGCUUUCUUGAUCUGAAUGUUCGUUUAGCAUUACACAUACCAUCAGGUCAUAGUUGUUCAUAGAUUUGUUGCAUUGUCCUAAUUUGUGUGUAAUAUUGGUCAAAGAUUUGCUGGCAUCUUUGUAUAUUGGUGCUUUUAUACUUUAAAUUACUGAUUAUGCUCAAUUUACUAUAAAAUCAACUUCAUUUUGAUGUUCAUGUUCUUUUCUUUUUUUGCUUCUUAUAAUAUAUUGUUUGAUCACUUCAUUGUGCAACUCUCUUCCUAGAUCAGAUAUUUGGGCUGUUGUGGAGUGUGGAUGCCCUAAUGUGUUCCGCAAAGCUGUCAAUUCAGCAAAAAGAUUGAGAGCAUUUCUCCAGGUUGAUGAACGAGACGUAAGUGCAUCUACUAAUUGCAGUUGCCACACUAAUUUACAAAUGUAAUGAAUGAUGUUUACUUGAGUGAAACUUGGAAAUUAUUGUUGUUGUUGAUCGAACCAUCGAAGCAAUGAUGUUUGAGUGUUUAUAUUUUAAGUGAUACGAUAAUCUAAAAGUUCAAUUAUGAUAUAGAACCAUUUCCACAGUCCAGUUGGAAUACCAUGAUCUUGAUUCAAGUUUCAUUCAGUGCUGCAGGUCUGUAGUACCUGCAACCUAAGAGAAUCUUGCGGCAAAGCAUACAUGACACCAUAUGAUGAUCGAGGCCAUACCUUGGAUGUAGUUCGUAUUUUAUUGAGCUAUGCAAUAAAUCCAAAGCAUCUUUGUGGAGAGGAAAUUUCUUGUAUCAAAGAACAUGUUCAAAAGUCUGCUAGACAUCUAUUAUUGGAGCUUGUUUAGCUUAGUGAUACAGCCAUUGAUCCAUCUGUUCCAAAACCUACAGUGAAGCCUUUUAUUCCAAAAGAACCAUCUCAAAAGGCCACUGGUAAGGGCGACAGGGCAGCUAAUGUGGAGAUGAAGAGAGGUUAUUGGUUGUGUCCAUAGUAAGUUAUUGUUGCUUCAAUUCUUACAAUUUCUAUGGCAUAUUUCAUCUUAUAUUCUGGUUCAUUUAAACUAGUUAUCGGUUUCAUUUAAACUAGCUAUUGAAACUUUGGCUCUUUAGGUGUCCCACAUGAGUUUAGUUGACAAAAUUUCAUGGUGCUGGAGAUACUCAACGAAGUUGUCUGUGGUGCAUUGUCUUCUUUUAUGUUUGUUUGUUCUAAUGGAAAUAACUAGUAAUCGUAACAAACAAGAUAAUUCGACAACAGAAACAGGAAGAAUAUGGGUGGAUAAUGGUAAAGGCUUUUCACAAAAUAAGAGUUGAUAAUAAUGUAAUACAAUGAAGAUCAUUAUCACUAAUGAAAAUUAUGAGUAAGGGUUGUCAGAGAAUGGAGGACACCUGAAAUUUUGGAAACUGAGCUUCCAGUCAGUUUUUUAUUGUUUCCACUCAUUUCUGCUAAUAUUCUGAAAAGGACAUGCAGUUGACAUUUGCAAAUUGGUUAGGCAGAUAAUUAUGUCAUCCUAACCUGUUGGUUAUUUGAGUUGUCUCAGCUCAACUUGGUCAUGACCAUAAAGCGAACCAGACCUCUUUUAUUGAAAUAGGAUGGUUGAUUUCCAUAGUCUUGUAUGCUCAACCAGACCCUGGUAAAUGCAUGUCCACUUUAUGUUCUGUUUCCUAGUCAUGUCCUACAAUUAGGGUCAAGUACUCCAACAACAAUAGUGAGAAAGGAUACAAAAGGUUGUUGCUUUACGAUUCUAAGUGGAACAUAAAUGCAUGUCCGGUUUGUGUUCUGCUUCCUAGUGAUGUCAUGUUCGGCUAUAAUCAGGGGCACGUACGACAGCAAUAGUGAGAAAUGAGACAUAAGGAUGUUGCUUUACAAUUCUAAAUGGAAAGCAAACGGUACAUGUGCAGUUCCAAAUUAUAGGGAACAGAACUUUUACUCUUUUUUGCUUACAAGUGUUGUGAUGGUGGUGAUAUUGGAAGAUUGCAAUAACAAAUUAGUUAUGGAGUAUAUUUUUGUUAGAAAUGUAUAUACAAGCAAUACAAAUUUUUUGGUGUAUAUCUCAUGCAGUUGCAACUUUCUCAAUUUCACCUGAAAUCUUUGCUGUCUAGAGUGCAAUGAAGAUGGGACCAAAGAGAGUAAAUGUAGGUGCUGCUGCUGAAAUGUUGUUGGGAGACUGGACUUGUCCACAGUAAAUUUCCCUUGCUCAACUUUCCCAUAGUUCUACAAGGAAUCAGCACCCUGAGAGCCUGAAAUUAACUAACAACCCUUGUGUGGCCACAGGUGUGUUUGUGAACUUUGCUCGCAAUAGCAAGUGCUUUUGCUGCCAGGAACCACAACCAAAGAGAGUUAAAUCCCGGAGAGUGGGAGUGCCCCUCGUAAGUCUCUUAUGCCAGGAUUGUUCACCUUUUUUUUUCAAAUGUCUUCUGACCUACCUUUCUGACACUGACAAUUGUUUUGUCUAGAUGCUAUUACUCGAACUUCAGGAAAAACAAGGCGUUCAAGAAGUGCAACUGUGACCGCCCUGACGAUCGGAGCAAUUUGUUUGAUGACCAUUCAUGGAGAUCUGGAAAGGUCCACCAAGAACAACACUUUAAAGUUUGGAGAUACCGAUGAUAAUAAUGAUGAAAUUGAUGACAAUGAUGAUGACAUAUUGCCUCUAUCGAAAGGGCAACUCCGUCUGAGAGGAAGACUAACCCCUGCUAGAAACUGAAGUAAUGAAUCCAUAUCAUCUUUUUGGUUAUGUUCUCCCAAAUUAUCGUAAAGAUUAUAGUCUGUUCGACAAUUUCCUUUCCUUUCUGCCUAUAAUUAUUUUGAGUAUCAGGUAUGGUUUGGCGCUUGGAAGUGUUUUUGACAUCCUUCUCAAGUCGAAUAGCUCUCCCCCAUAUUCCACUGUAAAUCUGGACACCGGAUGACGGCUUGGCAGAUGUAUUUCUAUUUGUAUAAGCAAACUGUCAUGACAAUGAUGCAGAUAACUGUGUCUGAUCAAAGACGGUUGUUGGAAAAGCCUGAUCCAACUUUUUCAUAUAUAUCGGUCGGCAAAGAUGGUUUAUGCCUUUUGUUCCACGCAAUGAAACUGUGGUGAAGCUUCAAGAAUACAGGGCUCAAUCUGAUCAACCCUAUCCUGUAUCGGUUAAUGGCUGAGGUAAUUCUUUCUUCUCCAUCUUUUCUUAGUACAUGCUACAAUUUAUGUUUUGUUUUGUUCGAGAAUGACUGCUUAUUUUAUCUUGGAAAAGCGUUCAGGGGGAACACCUCAGGAAUUUUUCGUGGAGAAAGGAGGUGGAAUGCUUCCUUGAGUGCACAUAACAUGUUCGACAAAACAGCGAACUCCAUAGGGGCCACACAAUUUGUCGUCGGAGCUCACCGAGGAGGAUGAUGAAAAGUAUCAAGUAUUAUUAUUAUAGGAAGCAAUUCUGAUAACGCUGCUGGCAGAAGCCAUGCAGAAGCUUAUCAACUACUACUAACAAUCUGCUGAUUUAUUCAUUCGAUGACCAGGUUAUUCUCAUACUUCAUUCAUGUUGCUCUCCGUCCUUCAUGCAGAUUGUGAUCAAAUAGCGAUGCUACGCGGCGGUGACCGCGAUCUUCAUGCCGGACUGGCAGUGGCCGGCGAAGCUGCAGAUGAAGUAGUUGGUGCCUCGGGCCAGCGUGAUGCGGUCCUUCCCGGAAGUGUAGACCCUGGAGCCCUUGGGAGCCGAGCAGCUAUUGUAGCCGGCCGCGCUCACCGCCACCACGUUGUGAACCGACGGGUUGUAGUUGAACACUGCCGCAGAUCGGUCAGUACCAUUAGUAAUAAUGCAAAAAUAAGUAUGCACGCAGCAGGGCAGCCAUCACUUACCGAGCACAUCGCCGGCUCUGAAGCUCUUCCCCCUGGGCCAGCUGGCGACGUUGAAGGUCCAUCCGCUGUUGCCGCCGACGACGUAGGUGGCGGCCUCGGCCACCUCACUGUGGAUGAGGAGACACAGCAGGGCCAGCCCCAGAGCC